rnacentral:rRNA from 1 species
UACGUAGGGUGCAAGCGUUAAUCGGAAUUACUGGGCGUAAAGCGUCCGCAGGUGGCAGUUCAAGUCUGCUGUCAAAGACCGGGGCUUAACUUCGGAAAGGCAGUGGAAACUGAACAGCUAGAGUAUGGUAGGGGCAGAGGGAAUUCCUGGUGUAGCGGUGAAAUGCGUAGAUAUCAGGAAGAACAUCGGUGGCGAAGGCGCUCUGCUGGACCAUAACUGACACUCAGGGACGAAAGCUAGGGGAGCGAAUGGG